GGCGCACGGGUGAGUAAUAUAUAGUUAACCUGCCCUCAAUAUCGGAAUAACAAUUGGAAACGAUUGCUAAUGCCGGAUAUGCCCUUAAUACAUAAGUAUGCAGGGGAAGCGCUUCUGUGCUCAAGGAUGGGACUGUACGGUAUCAGCUUGUUGGUGAGGUAAUGGCUCACCAAGGCUAUGACGCCUAACUGGUUUGAGAGGAUGAUCAGUCACACUGGAACUGAGACACGGUCCAGACUCCUACGGGAGGCAACAGUGGGGAAUAUUGCACAAUGGGGGAAACCCUGAUGCAGCAGCGCCGCGUGGAGGAUGACACAUUUCGGUGCGUAAACUCCUUUUAUAUAGGAAGAUAAUGACGGUACUAUAUGAAUAAGCACCGGCUAACUCCGUGCCAGCAGCCGCGGUAAUACGGAGGGUGCAAGCGUUACUCGGAAUCACUGGGCGUAAAGAGAAUGUAUGCGGUUUGAUAAGUUUGAAGUGAAAUCCACUGGCUCAACCAUUGAACUGCUUUGAAAACUAUUAACCUAGAAUAUGGGAGAGGUAGAUGGAAUUUCUGGUGUAGGGGUAAAAUCCGUAGAGAUCAGAAGGAAUACCGAUUGCGAAGGCGAUCUACUGGAACAUUAUUGACGCUCAGGUUCGAAAGCGUGGGGAGCAAACAGGAUUAGAUACCCUGGUAGUCCACGCCCUAAACGAUGCACGCUAGUUGUUNNUAUGCUAGACAUAGCNGUGAUGCAGUUAACUCAUUAAGUGUGCCGCCUGGGGAGUACGGUCGCAAGAUUAAAACUCAAAGGAAUAGACGGGGACCCGCACAAGCGGUGGAGCAUGUGGUUUAAUACGACGAUACGCGAAGAACCUUACCUGGCCUUGACAUAGACAGAACAUAUCNGAGAUGUAUUGGUGCUAGUAUACUAGAGCUGUCAUAGAGGUGCUGCNUGGCUGUCGUCNGCUCGUGUGGUGAGAUGUUGGGUUA
rnacentral:rRNA from 1 species